rnacentral:rRNA from 1 species
GAUGAACGCUAGCUACAGGCUUAACACAUGCAAGUCGAGGGGAAACGACAUCGAAAGCUUGCUUUUGAUGGGCGUCGACCGGCGCACGGGUGAGUAACGCGUAUCCAACCUGCCCACCACUUGGGGAUAACCUUGCGAAAGUAAGACUAAUACCCAAUGAUAUCCCACGAAGACAUCUGAAUGGGAUUAAAGAUUUAUCGGUGAUGGAUGGGGAUGCGUCUGAUUAGCUUGUUGGCGGGGUAACGGCCCACCAAGGCAACGAUCAGUAGGGGUUCUGAGAGGAAGGUCCCCCACAUGGGAACUGAGACACGGUCCAAACUCCUACGGGAGGCAGCAGUGAGGAAUAUUGGUCAAUGGGCGAGAGCCUGAACCAGCCAAGUAGCGUGCAGGAAGACGGCCCUAUGGGUUGUAAACUGCUUUUAUAAGGGAAUAAAGUGGGUCACGUGUGACUUUUUGCAUGUACCUUAUGAAUAAGGACCGGCUAAUUCCGUG